rnacentral:rRNA from 1 species
UACGUAGGGGGCAAGCGUUAUCCGGAUUUACUGGGUGUAAAGGGAGCGCAGACGGAACUGCAAGUCUGAUGUGAAAGCCCGGGGCUCAACCGCGGGACUGCAUCGGAUACUGUGGAUCUGGAGUGCCGGAGGGGCAAGCGGAAUUCCUGGUGUAGCGGUGAAAUGCGUAGAUAUCAGGAGGAACACCGGCGGCGAAGGCGGCUUGCUGGACGGCAACUGACGUUGAGGCUCGAAAGCGUGGGGAGCAAACAGGAUUAGAUACCCCCGUA